rnacentral:rRNA from 1 species
GAUGAACGCUGGCGGCGUGCCUAAUACAUGCAAGUCGAGCGAACGGACGAGAAGCUUGCUUCUCUGAUGUUAGCGGCGGACGGGUGAGUAACACGUGGAUAACCUACCUAUAAGACUGGGAUAACUUCGGGAAACCGUAGCUAAUACCGGAUAAUAUUUUGAACCGCGUGGUUCAAAAGUGAAAGACGGUCGUGCUGUCACUUAUCGAUGGAUCCGCGCUGCAUUAGCUAGUUGGUAAGGUAACGGCCUACCAAGGCAACGAUGCAUAGCCGACCUGAGAGGGGGAUAGGCGACCUUAGAACUGAGACAGGCUCCAGACGACUACGGGAGGCAGCAGAAGGGAACGUGACGCAGUGGUGGAAAGCAUUGCGGAACAACGCCGAGCCAGUGGUGACGGUCCCGGGUGCGGAAUACUCGGUUACUAGUGAAGAACAUAUGUGUCAGUAAAUGUGCAGAGCUUGACGGUAACUAGUCAGAAAGCCACGGCUAACUACGUG